rnacentral:rRNA from 1 species
GAUGAACGCUGGCGGCGUGCCUAAUACAUGCAAGUCGAGCGAACGGACGAGAAGCUUGCUUUUCUGAUGUUAGCGGCGGACGGGUGAGUAACACGUGGAUAACCUACCUAUAAGACUGGGAUAACUUCGGGAAACCGGAGCUAAUACCGGAUAAUAUUUUGAACCGCAUGGUUCAAAAGUGAAAGACGGUCUUGCUGUCACUUAUAGAUGGAUCCGCGCUGCAUUAGCUAGUUGGUAAGGUAACGGCUUACCAAGGCAACGAUGCAUAGCCGACCUGAGAGGGUGAUCGGCCACACUGGAACUGAGACACGGUCCAGACUCCUACGGGAGGCAGCAGUAGGGAAUCUUCCGCAAUGGGCGAAAGCCUGACGGAGCAACGCCGCGUGAGUGAUGAAGGUCUUCGGAUCGUAAAACUCUAUUAUUAGGGAAGAACAUAUGUGUAAGUAACUGUGCACAUCUUGACGGUACCUAAUCAGAAAGCCACGGCUAACUACGUG